rnacentral:rRNA from 1 species
GUCUACAGCCAUAGCACCCUGAACAAGCCUGAUGUCUGAUCUCGGAAGCUAAGCAGGGUCAGGCCUGGUUAGUACUUGGAUGGGAGACCCCCUAGGAAAACCAGGUGCUGUAGGCA